UUUGCACAGUGGUCUUUUAUAAC
rnacentral:miRNA from 1 species